UACGAGUGGUGCAAGCGUUAUUCGGAAUCAUUGGGCGUAAAGGGUGUGUAGGCGGCAUAUUAAGUCAACUGUUAAAUUCUCCGGCCUAACCGGAGGCCAGCUGUAGAUACUGAUGUGCUCGAGUGUGGAAGAGAGAGGCGGAAUUCUCGGAGUAGCGGUAAAAUGCGUAGAUCUCGAGAGGAACACCAAUGGCGAAGGCAGCCUCUUGGUCCACUACUGACGCUGAAACACGAAAGCGUGGGGAGCAAACAGG
rnacentral:rRNA from 1 species